GAUGAACGCUGGCGGCGUGCUUAACACAUGCAAGUCGAACGGAAAGGCUCCUGCUUGCAGGGGUACUCGAGUGGCGAACGGGUGAGUAACACGUGGGUGAUCUGCCCUGCACUUCGGGAUAAGCCUGGGAAACUGGGUCUAAUACCGGAUAGGACGAUGGUUUGGAUGCCAUUGUGGAAAGUUUUUUCGGUGUGGGAUGAGCUCGCGGCCUAUCGGCUUGUUGGUGGGGUAAUGGCCUACCAAGGCGUCGACGGGUAGCCGGCCUGAGAGGGUGUACGGCCACAUUGGGACUGAGAUACGGCCCAGACUCCUACGGGAGGCAGCAGUGGGGAAUAUUGCACAAUGGGCGCAAGCCUGAUGCAGCGACGCCGCGUGGGGGAUGACGGCCUUCGGGUUGUAAACUCCUUUCGCUAGGGACGAAGCGCAAGUGACGGUACCUGGAGAAGAAGCACCGGCUAACUACGUG
rnacentral:rRNA from 1 species